rnacentral:rRNA from 1 species
GACGAACGCUGGCGGCGUGCUUAACACAUGCAAGUCGAACGGAAAGGCCCUGCUUUUGUGGGGUGCUCGAGUGGCGAACGGGUGAGUAACACGUGAGUAACCUGCCCUUGACUUUGGGAUAACUUCAGGAAACUGGGGCUAAUACCGGAUAGGAGCUCCUGCUGCAUGGUGGGGGUCGGAAAGUUUCGGCGGUUGGGGAUGGACUCGCGGCUUAUCAGCUUGUUGGUGGGGUAGUGGCUUACCAAGGCUUUGACGGGUAGCCGGCCUGAGAGGGUGACCGGCCACAUUGGGACUGAGAUACGGCCCAGACUCCUACGGGAGGCAGCAGUGGUGAAUAUUGCACAAUGGGCGGAAGCCUGAUGCAGCAACGCCGCGUGCGGGAUGACGGCCUUCGGGUUGUAAACCGCUUUCGCCUGUGACGAAGCGUGAGUGACGGUAAUGGGUAAAGAAGCACCGGCUAACUACGUG